AGGGGUUUAGCUCAGUUGGUAGAGCAGCGGUCUCCAAAACCGCAGGUCGUGGGUUCGAGUCCCUCAGCCCCUGCCA
rnacentral:tRNA from 2 species